rnacentral:misc_RNA from 1 species
GACAGGCUUGCCGCGUGU